UUCCGGUUGAUCCUGCCGGACCUGACUGCUAUCGGAUUGGUACUAAGCCAUGUGAGUCGUUGUAGCAAUACAAGGCAUACGGCUCAGUAACACGUAGUCAAUCUAACCUAUGGACGGGGAUAACCUCGGGAAACUGAGGAUAAAACCCGAUAGAUCAUUAUACCUGGAACGGUUUAUGGUCCAAAUGAUUCGUCGCCGUAGGGUGGGACUGCGGCCUAUCAGCUUGUUGGUGAGGUAAUGGCCCACCAAGGCUAUUACAGGUACGGGCUCUGAGAGGAGAAGCCCGGAGAUGGGUACUGAGACACGGACCCAGGCCCUAUGGGGCGCAGCAGGCGAGAAACCUUUGCAAUGUGCGCAAGCACGACAAGGUUAAUCCGAGUGUUUCCUGCUAAAGGAAUCUUUUGUUAGUUCUAAAACCACUGAUGAAUAAGGGGUGGGCAAGUUCUGGUGUCAGCCGCCGCGGUAAAACCAGCACCUCAAGUGGUCAGGAUGAUUAUUGGGCCUAAAGCAUCCGUAGCCUGUUCUGUCAGUUUCCGGUUAAAUCCAUUAGCUCAACUAAUGGGCCGCCGAAAAUACUGCAGAACUAGGGAGUGGGAGAGGUAGACGGUACUCGGUAGGAAGGGGUAAAAUCCUUUGAUCUAUUGAUGACCACCUGUGGCGAAGGCGGUCUACCAGAACACGUUCGACGGUGAGGGAUGAAAGCUGGGGGAGCAAACCGGAUUAGAUACCCGGGUAGUCCCAGCUGUAAACGAUGCAGACUCGG
rnacentral:rRNA from 1 species